rnacentral:rRNA from 1 species
GCGCCGUAGCUAACGCAUUAAGUGCCCCGCCUGGGGAGUACGGCCGCAAGGCUAAAACUCAAAGGAAUUGACGGGGGCCCGCACAAGCGGCGGAGCAUGCGGAUUAAUUCGAUGCAACGCGAAGAACCUUACCAAGGCUUGACAUACACCGGAUCGCAGCAGAGAUGUUGUUUCCUCUUUGAGGCUGGUGUACAGGUGGUGCAUGGUUGUCGUCAGCUCGUGUCGUGAGAUGUUGGGUUAAGUCCCGCAACGAGCGCAACCCUCGUUCUAUGUUGCCAGCACGUGAUGGUGGGGACUCAUAGGAGACUGCCGGGGUCAACUCGGAGGAAGGUGGGGAUGACGUCAAAUCAUCAUGCCCCUUAUGUCUUGGGCUUCACGCAUGCUACAAUGGCCGGUACAAUGGGUUGCGAUACUGUGAGGUGGAGCUAAUCCCAAAAAGCCGGUCUCAGUUCGGAUUGGGGUCUGCAACUCGACCCCAUGAAGUCGGAGUCGCUAGUAAUCGCAGAUCAGCAACGCUGCGGUGAAUACGUUCCCGGGCCUUGUACACACCGCCCGUCAAGUCACGAAAGUUGGUAACACCC